UACGUAGGAGGCGAGCGUUGUCCGGAAUUACUGGGCGUAAAGAGUGUGUAGGCGGUGUUCUAAGUUUGGUGUGAAAUCUCCCGGCUCAACUGGGAGGGUGCACCGAAAACUGGAAUGCUAGAGUAUGGGAGAGGUAAGCGGAAUUCCUGGUGUAGCGGUGAAAUGCGUAGAUAUCAGGAGGAACACCUGUGGUGUAGACAGCUUACUGGACCAUCACUGACGCUGAGACACGAAAGCGUGGGUAGCAAACAGG
rnacentral:rRNA from 1 species